CAGCCGCCGCGGUAAUACAGAGGGUGCGAGCGUUAAUCGGAUUUACUGGGCGUAAAGCAUGCGUAGGCGGCUUCUUAAGUCGGAUGUGAAAUCCCUGAGCUUAACUUAGGAAUUGCAUUCGAUACUGGGAAGCUAGAGUAUGGGAGAGGAUGGUAGAAUUCCAGGUGUAGCGGUGAAAUGCGUAGAGAUCUGGAGGAAUACCGAUGGCGAAGGCAGCCAUCUGGCCUAAUACUGACGCUGAGGUACGAAAGCAUGGGGAGCAAACAGGAUUAGAUACCCGCGUAGUCCCUGUCUCUUAUAU
rnacentral:rRNA from 1 species